AUUGAACGCUGGCGGCAGGCCUAACACAUGCAAGUCGAGCGAGCGGCGGACGGGUGAGUAAUGUCUGGGAAACUGCCUGAUGGAGGGGGAUAACUACUGGAAACGGUAGCUAAUACCGCAUACCAUCAGAUGUGCCCCGAUGGGCUUAGCUAGGAUGUGGGGUAACGGCUCACCUAGGCGACGAGCUCGAGCUGGUCUGAGAGGAUGACCAGCCACACUGGAACGGAGACACGGUCCAGACUCCUACGGGAGGCAGCAGUGGGGAAUAUUGCACAAUGGGCGCAAGCCUGAUGCAGCCAUGCCGCGUGUGUGAAGAAGGCCUUCGGGUUGUAAAGCACUUUCAGCGGGGAGGCGUUACCCGCAGAAGAAGCACCGGCUAACUCCGUGCCAGCAGCCGCGGUAAUUC
rnacentral:rRNA from 1 species